rnacentral:misc_RNA from 1 species
ACCCACAAUCAUCUAUCUGAAGGCUCUUGAGCCGUAAAAGGCUUUUGACAAAUGAAGUUGUAAAUAAAUACUUCAAAUCCUGACAUCCUAUGGAGCGUACAUAGAGUUCCUCCAAGUUGGGGAAUGAAACCUUUUCAUCAAAAAGAGAUUGACUUAGACGAUUUGAGACGAAAGUCUUGAACACAGGGCAAUUGUUUAUCCAUAGAUUGGUCAGAGAGCAAAAUUCAAUUAAAUGCCCAUCACAAAAACUUGUAAGAUUUGGAAGAUCACUGAGAGUCAAAUUUUCUAAAUCAGAGAAGAUUAUCUUAUCCAGUCUCUCUUCUUCUGCGAAUUCUUCUGUGA